rnacentral:rRNA from 1 species
GACGGGUGAGUAACGCGUGGGUAACCUGCCUUAUACAGGGGGAGUAACAGUCAGAAAUGGCUGCUAAUACCGCAUAAGCGCACAGAGCUGCAUGGCUCAGUGUGAAAAACUACCGGUGGUAUAAGAUGGACCCGCGUUGGAUUAGCUUGUUGGUGGGGUAACGGCCCACCAAGGCGACGAUCCAUAGCCGGCCUGAGAGGGUGAACGGCCACAUUGGGACUGAGACACGGCCCAGACUCCUACGGGAGGCAGCAUG